UACGUAGGGUGCAAGCGUUGUCCGGAAUUAUUGGGCGUAAAGAGCUCGUAGGCGGUUUGUUGCGUCGGCUGUGAAAUCCCGAGGCUCAACCUCGGGUCUGCAGUCGAUACGAGCAAACUAGAGUGUUGCAGGGGAGAGUGGAAUUCCCGGUGUAGCGGUGAAAUGCGCAGAUAUCGGGAAGAACACCCGUGGCGAAGGCGGCUCUCUGGGACGGUACUGACGCUGAGACGCGAAAGCGUGGGGAGCGAACAGGAUUAGAAACCCGAUAGUCC
rnacentral:rRNA from 1 species